AACGGCCGUACCAUGCUGAAUAUACCGGUUCUUGUUAGAUCACCGAAGUCAAACAUCAUUGGGCGCGGUCAGUACUUUGGAUGAGUGACCACCUGGGAACAUCGCGUGCCGUU